rnacentral:rRNA from 1 species
GACGAACGCUGGCGGCGUGCUUAACACAUGCAAGUCGAGCGGUAAGGCCCUUUCGGGGGUACACGAGCGGCGAACGGGUGAGUAACACGUGGGUGACCUGCCCUCAGCUCUGGGAUAAGCCUGGGAAACCGGGUCUAAUACUGGAUAUGACUCCAUGACGCAUGUUGUGGGGUGGAAAGCCUUGUGCGGCUGAGGAUGGGCCCGCGGCCUAUCAGCUUGUUGGUGGGGUGAUGGCCUACCAAGGCGACGACGGGUAGCCGGCCUGAGAGGCGACCGGCCACACUGGGACUGAGACACGGCCCAGACUCCUACGGGAGGCAGCAGUGGGGAAUCUUGCGCAAUGGGCGAAAGCCUGACGCAGCGACG